rnacentral:rRNA from 1 species
GACGAACGCUGGCGGCGUGCUUAACACAUGCAAGUCGAACGGUAAGGUCCCUUCGGGGGUACACGAGUGGCGAACGGGUGAGUAACACGUGAGCAACCUGCCCUUGACUCUGGGAUAACAGUUGGAAACAGCUGCUAAUACCGGAUACGACCUUCGAUGACAACAUCUGGAGGUGGAAAGCGCUUUAGCGGUCAAGGAUGGGCUCGCGGCCUAUCAGCUUGUUGGUGAGGUAACGGCUCACCAAGGCUUCGACGGGUAGCCGGCCUGAGAGGGCGACCGGCCACACUGGGACUGAGAUACGGCCCAGACUCCUACGGGAGGCAGCAGUGGGGAAUAUUGCACAAUGGGCGCAAGCCUGAUGCAGCAACGCCGCGUGCGGGAUGACGGCCUUCGGGUUGUAAACCGCUUUCAGUUUCGACGAAGCGCAAGUGACGGUAGGAACAGAAGAAGGACCGGCCAACUACGUGCCAGCCGCCGCAGUAA